GAUGAACGCUGGCGGCGUGCCUAAUACAUGCAAGUCGAACGCUGGAACUCUAGCUUGCUAGAUUGAAGGAGUGGCGAACGGGUGAGUAAUACAUAAGCAACCUACCCACGAAGACUGGGAUAAUCUCUGGAAACGGGGACUAAUACCGGAUAGGUAAUCGGAAGGCAUCUUCUGAUUAUUAAAGGUUAAAAACACUGGUGGAUGGGCUUAUGGCGCAUUAGUUAGUUGGUGAGGUAACGGCCCACCAAGACGAUGAUGCGUAGCCGGCCUGAGAGGGUGAACGGCCACAUUGGGACUGAGACACGGCCCAGACUCCUACGGGAGGCAGCAGUAGGGAAUUUUCGGCAAUGGGGGAAACCCUGACCGAGCAACGCCGCGUGAGUGAUGACGGCCUUCGGGUUGUAAAGCUCUGCUGUAAGGGAAGAACGGUAGAUAGAGAAUAUCUAAAUGACGGUACCUUACCAGAAAGCCACGGCUAACUACGUG
rnacentral:rRNA from 1 species